rnacentral:rRNA from 1 species
ACACAUGCAAGUCGAGCGGAAACGACUUAUCUGAACCUUCGGGGAACGAUAACGGCGUCGAGCGGCGGACGGGUGAGUAAUGCCUAGGAAAUUGCCUUGAUGUGGGGGAUAACCAUUGGAAACGAUGGCUAAUACCGCAUAAUGCCUACGGGCCAAAGAGGGGGACCUUCGGGCCUCUCGCGUCAAGAUAUGCCUAGGUGGGAUUAGCUAGUUGGUGAGGUAAUGGCUCACCAAGGCGACGAUCCCUAGCUGGUCUGAGAGGAUGAUCAGCCACACUGGAACUGAGACACGGUCCAGACUCCUACGGGAGGCAGCAGUGGGGAAUAUUGCACAAUGGGCGAAAGCCUGAUGCAGCCAUGCCGCGUGUAUGAAGAAGGCCUUCGGGUUGUAAAGUACUUUCAGUUGUGAGGAAGGGGGUGUCGUUAAUAGCGGCAUCUCUUGACGUUAGCAACAGAAGAAGCACCGGCUAACUCCGUGCCAGCAGGCGCGGUAAUACGGAGGGUGCGAGCGUUAAUCGGAAUUACUGGGCGUAAAGCGCAUGCAGGUGGUUCAU